AGGGUCGUAAAGCUCUUUCGCCAGGGAUGAUAAUGACAGUACCUGGUAAAGAAACCCCGGCUAACUCCGUGCCAGCAGCCGCGGUAAUACGGAGGGUGCGAGCGUUAAUCGGAAUUACUGGGCGUAAAGCGAGUGUAGGUGGCUCAUUAAGUCACAUGUGAAAUCCCCGGGCUUAACCUGGGAACUGCAUGUGAUACUGGUGGUGCUAGAAUAUGUGAGAGGGAAGUAGAAUUCCAGGUGUAGCGGUGAAAUGCGUAGAGAUCUGGAGGAAUACCGAUGGCGAAGGCAGCCAUCUGGCCUAAUACUGACGCUGAGGUACGAAAGCAUGGGGAGCAAACAGGAUUAGAUACCCUGGUAGUCCAUGCCGUAAACGGUGGGCGCUAGGUGUAGGGGUCUUCCACGACUUCUGUGCCGUAGCUAACGCAUUAAGCGCCCCGCCUGGGGAGUACGGC
rnacentral:rRNA from 11 species